rnacentral:rRNA from 1 species
GGAAAGGCGCGCGAUACAGGGUGACAGCCCCGUACACAAAAAUGCACAUGCUGUGAGCUCGAUGAGUAGGGCGGGACACGUGGUAUCCUGUCUGAAUAUGGGGGGACCAUCCUCCAAGGCUAAAUACUCCUGACUGACCGAUAGUGAACCAGUACCGUGAGGGAAAGGCGAAAAGAACCCCGGCGAGGGGAGUGAAAAAGAACCUGAAACCGUGUACGUACAAGCAGUGGGAGCACGCUUAGGCGUGUGACUGCGUACCUUUUGUAUAAUGGGUCAGCGACUUAUAUUCUGUAGCAAGGUUAACCGAAUAGGGGAGCCGAAGGGAAACCGAGUCUUAACUGGGCGUUAAGUUGCAGGGUAUAGACCCGAAACCCGGUGAUCUAGCCAUGGGCAGGUUGAAGGUUGGGUAACACUAACUGGAGGACCGAACCGACUAAUGUUGAAAAAUUAGCGGAUGACUUGUGGCUGGGGGUGAAAGGCCAAUCAAACCGGGAGAUAGCUGGUUCUCCCCGAAAGCUAUUUAGGUAGCGCCUCGUGAAUUCAUCUCCGGGGGUAGAGCACUGUUUCGGCAAGGGGGUCAUCCCGACUUACCAACCCGAUGCAAACUGCGAAUACCGGAGAAUGUUAUCACGGGAGACACACGGCGGGUGCUAACGUCCGUCGUGAAGAGGGAAACAACCCAGACCGCCAGCUAAGGUCCCAAAGUCAUGGUUAAGUGGGAAACGAUGUGGGAAGGCCCAGACAGCCAGGAUGUUGGCUUAGAAGCAGCCAUCAUUUAAAGAAAGCGUAAUAGCUCACUGGUCGAGUCGGCCUGCGCGGAAGAUGUAACGGGGCUAAACCAUGCACCGAAGCUGCGGCAGCGACGCUGAUGCGUUGUUGGGUAGGGGAGCGUUCUGUAAGCCUGCGAAGGUGUGCUGUGAGGCAUGCUGGAGGUAUCAGAAGUGCGAAUGCUGACAUAAGUAACGAUAAAGCGGGUGAAAAGCCCGCUCGCCGGAAGACCAAGGGUUCCUGUCCAACGUUAAUCGGGGCAGGGUGAGUCGACCCCUAAGGCGAGGCCGAAAGGCGUAGUCGAUGGGAAACAGGUUAAUAUUCCUGUACUUGGUGUUACUGCGAAGGGGGGACGGAGAAGGCUAUGUUGGCCGGGCGACGGUUGUCCCGGUUUAAGCGUGUAGGCUGGUUUUCCAGGCAAAUCCGGAAAAUCAAGGCUGAGGCGUGAUGACGAGGCACUACGGUGCUGAAGCAACAAAUGCCCUGCUUCCAGGAAAAGCCUCUAAGCAUCAGGUAACAUCAAAUCGUACCCCAAACCGACACAGGUGGUCAGGUAGAGAAUACCAAGGCGCUUGAGAGAACUCGGGUGAAGGAACUAGGCAAAAUGGUGCCGUAACUUCGGGAGAAGGCACGCUGAUAUGUAGGUGAAGUCCCUCGCGGAUGGAGCUGAAAUCAGUCGAAGAUACCAGCUGGCUGCAACUGUUUAUUAAAAACACAGCACUGUGCAAACACGAAAGUGGACGUAUACGGUGUGACGCCUGCCCGGUGCCGGAAGGUUAAUUGAUGGGGUUAGCGCAAGCGAAGCUCUUGAUCGAAGCCCCGGUAAACGGCGGCCGUAACUAUAACGGUCCUAAGGUAGCGAAAUUCCUUGUCGGGUAAGUUCCGACCUGCACGAAUGGCGUAAUGAUGGCCAGGCUGUCUCCACCCGAGACUCAGUGAAA